rnacentral:rRNA from 1 species
AAAUUGAAGAGUUUGAUCAUGGCUCAGAUUGAACGCUGGCGGCAGGCCUAACACAUGCAAGUCGAACGGUAACAGGAAGCAGCUUGCUGCUUCGCUGACGAGUGGCGGACGGGUGAGUAAUGUCUGGGGAUCUGCCUGAUGGAGGGGGAUAACUACUGGAAACGGUAGCUAAUACCGCAUAACGUCGCAAGACCAAAGAGGGGGACCUUCGGGCCUCUUGCCAUCAGAUGAACCCAGAUGGGAUUAGCUAGUAGGUGGGGUAACGGCUCACCUAGGCGACGAUCCCUAGCUGGUCUGAGAGGAUGACCAGCCACACUGGAACUGAGACACGGUCCAGACUCCUACGGGAGGCAGCAGUGGGGAAUAUUGCACAAUGGGCGCAAGCCUGAUGCAGCCAUGCCGCGUGUAUGAAGAAGGCCUUCGGGUUGUAAAGUACUUUCAGCGGGGAGGAAGGG